ACAGAUCUUUUCUUUAGGAGAAAAUCCCGCUCUAAAUUUUCCAAUUUAGCUGCAGAACCUACCCUGGUUGAUGAACGAAAAUCCCCGUCGCCCUAGAGUGAAAAUUUUACCAGGGUUACUCUUAACUCUACCCUCGACCUCUCCGCAAGGAGGGCGGCCUGAGCGAAAGCAAAGACUGUAUAGAGGGUGUUGAUGAUCUCAACCCCGAUUAGCCGUGGUCUGUCCUUGUGGCGCAUGGCCGGGGUGGGUGGUGGUGGACGUCUGACAGGC
rnacentral:snoRNA from 1 species